rnacentral:lncRNA from 14 species
AUGGUGUGUGUCUGUUUCAAUGCAUGCUCCUCUGUUAGAUGUUUUCCUUCCUUGCCCAGGAUCCAGCCAGCACUGAUGUCAUCCAGUGCACUCAGCCUGCACAGCCAGCAGAGCGAUGCACAAGGUAUGUGCACAGGGGAGAUGUCCCUCCUCAGCUCCUGCUCCUGCCAACUUCCUUGCAGCCGAUCAGCCGAAGGGCAUAACUAUGUCUCCCUGCUUUGUUCCUGUCUGCACACAGGCUGUAUCAACAAAGUGAUGAGGUCUGGACCAUGGAAGACAGUGCUCAUUGUCACUCCAGCUGUGCCUGUUCUCCUCGGUACAGAGUAGAGGCAUACUCUUUGGAUACAAGCAUCUCUAAGGCCAAGCAGGAGUGAGGUGAGUCACUGGAAUAUUGUUGUAAACGUGACAGUAUCAAGUGCAGACUAUACAUUAUGGAGAUUUUUUGCUUAUAAAGCAGCACAACAAUCUUCAUUAGUGUAGUGAAAAAAUCAGUUCCAGAAGUUCUCAAAGCAGUUUGUACCACUGCCAUAUGGAAUUGCAUGAUUGGAUAAAAAACAGAUAAAUACAGAGGUCUAAUUUUCCUUAUCAGGGUUUUCAGGUUUGUCAUGGGUUUGGGAGGUCUUUGCAGGUGAAAUUUUUCUGUUCUUCUGCAGUAUCUCAGCCUUUCCACUCACAAGUAGGGAGUACCAGAAGAAAUGUUAGGGUUUUAUAUGAAUACCAGUGUAUUAAAAUUCUGGACAAACACUGGUUAAUGUUCCAGGAGUCAACAGACACUGUUUUUUCUUAUCUUUUAUAUUAAUGUAUUACAUGAUGCUCAUAGAAAAAAAAACAGACAAACAGAACAACAGGUGCUGUAUAAACACGGCAUAAAUAAGACUGGAUGAGGAGGAAGGGGAAGAAAAAAGAAAGGGGAAUUGAAGGGAAAAGGGAAAAGAAAGGGGCUUGGUUCCCAGCAGAACAUUUCUGGCUGGGAAUAUCAAGGUCAGGACAGGACCAUAGCUGUAAUUAUUCAGUCUUACAUGCAAAUGCCAUGGCUGCUGUAAAGGUCUCAGCUGUUUGUAAUUAGUUGAUUACAUUUCCUUACCAAACAUGCCACAAAUAGGCACCAGAACUUAGGAUUUCUCUGCAUCCUGAAUGUAUUGCAGUAUUCUGGACACCACACUGGACGAUAAUCUGACAAAAGGUCACUUUGCUCCAAUGUAGACCACCGCCUGAAAUGCUGUCGAAUGAAAUUGUGAGAAGGAUGAUAAGUAACUGACACAAAACCAUUUUUGUUACAGUUAUGAGAUCUGGAAAUAGAAACAAAAAUUAAUCCAGUUUGUGACAAACCUUUUUUAAUCUUACGAAAGGAUCUCUUUAGGGCCACAUAUAAAUGCUA